rnacentral:lncRNA from 1 species
GGAAUGUGAGCCUUUCUUAAGUCCAGAAUCUGUGGAGGUCACCCACACAGAGGCAGUGUGGCACAGUGGUCCACAUCGAGCAUCUCUCACAAAGAAGGCAGUGUGGUGAAAUGAACAACAGCCCAUUCUCCAGCCACAGUGUCUCAUCCCUGGUCUUGGCUGGGACAGUUGCCAACCUCUUAGAGUCUCCACUGCGCAAAAGGGCUCUCAUGGCUAUGCAGAUCCAGGUCCAGAGAAUAAUGGACAGAAGCCCCGCAGGGAGUCUGAAAACCAGAAUUCCUGCAAGGAAGACAUGAAUGGAGAUUCCGGAUCCGAGAUACUGAUUUACAGCUUCAGUCAUCAGCUGACACACAUGGCCCUUGCAAAGUGAAAGCGGCUCUAUAACAGGUAUUUCAAAUUUUCAUAAGUCACAACACAUCAACCUGAAAGUGAAGAGUUUCAUUCACAGGAAACAAUUUGUCUGAAAUCAGCA